AUGAUCACUUCAAACCCACUGUCAAUAGCCAACAAUAAUAGCAAAGCAUCUCCUAGCAGUUCAAUGGCAAAGGAAUCUGAGACUGACACGUGCUUACUUUUUGCACCGGCUUCUCGCGACCAUGCCAGCCCCCGCACAGCCUUGAACCAAUCCGAUACCUCCAUCACAAUUGAUUUUGACCCAUCCCGGGUCAGGAGCUUCCCGCCUCUCAACAUUCACACUGGCCUCAACUCUACCUUGGUCUGGAAUGUCCAAGGCUGCCAGCAACUAAUCUCUACUCGUACCAGCAUCGAGUAUCCUCUUCGAUCAAAUCAACCACCACAUGAACUGGUGUGCCAGACAAACGACAGAUAG
rnacentral:rRNA from 1 species